CUUUGAGUUAGACCAAACUUUUAUUUUGGUUGGUUGUAGACAAAGUUUCUGUGUUUUUUAUUAACUAUUAUUAUUAGCUAUUAGGCCUACUUGACGUAUAGCAUAUUGUACUGUGCAUAUUCUGACGUAUAGCAUAUUCUAGUCCUCAAAUGCUAUUGAGCUUCAAAUUUGCGUUUGAGCCCAUGUGAAAGGGUAGCAUAUGAUUUUCACAUUAUUUUAAUAAAUAUCAAACAUUUAAUUCGAUUGUGCAUUAUAGCUGACACAUACAUGAACAAUUACAGUUGUUUUUAUGACUAUAAGUCAUUCUCCUCAAAUGCUACUGAUGUUAGAAAAGUGUAUAACAAUAUCGCAUGUAACUUUAGAGACGGUCCCUAAAUUUGAAACUUUCGAACGUUAAACAUCAAGCCAUGUCUGUUUUUUUCUCUCUCUCUCCGCUGGAUUGGAUUCAUCCAUCAAUUAUGAACAUUCAGCAGCAGGGGUUCAGAUAAAAAAUCGGCAGCUGGCAGCAGGAAGUGGCUGCCAUUGACAGCCGGAAGGCAGUUACUGGCAGCCGGAUGGUAGGCGGGACCUGCCAUUCGGUGGGAGCCAAUCAGUAUCGACCAACGUGGGCGCAACCAAUCAGAUAUAACUGCACCCAAACGCUUCAGUAAUGGUUGCGAUUGAUCAAACGUUGCCAGAUGCUGUCCUGUUGGAAAUUCUUCUUUACGUGAUCCUGGAGGAGGGUGAUGCUACAUUACUAAGUCCGUCUUUGGUUUGUUCCAAAUUCAGAAGUCUGCUGUACUGUAUACAGACUCCUUUCGAAAGAGGGCACAAUCCAGCUGGCUUGACUGAGUAUCUUUUACAUAUUUGAUUAGAGGUUUAAAAAGGUGGAACAAAAUGGAGAACAAGUCUAAGCCAUGUCAGGAAUUCAACUAAAUGUACACCCUGCAGACACUGCGACAAGGUUUACAACAACUGCUUACCAGGUCUCUUUCUUAUUCUAAGGUCACUGCAGUCACCCGGAUCCAGUACGUAUCCAGACCAGAUGGUGGAUCAGCACCUAGAAAGGACCUCUACAGCCCUGAAAGACAGCGGAGACCAGGACAACUAGAGCCCCAGAUACAGAUCCCCUGUAAAGAUCUUGUUUUUUCUCCAUUUUGUCACUGGUGGAGUUUUGGUUCCUUGUCGCCUCUGGCUUGCUUCGUUGUGGUCACUUCAUUUACAGUGAUAUCAUUGACAUGAUUGCAAAUGAUUCCACAGAUACUAUUUAAAUUGAACCGAGCUGAAGGAUGACACCACUUAAUUCAAUGAUAAACUGCCUUUUAAACUGACUACAAACUGAGUUUACUAAUGUCCUUCUGCAUUUUUGACUGACACACUAUUUUCCUAUUUAAUACUGUAAAGUUGCUUUGAUCUGUAUUAUUAAAAGCACUAUAUAAAUAAACAAUGCUUGACUUGUCCAUGUUGGAAGAGGAAAAUGAGGAGAGAUGCACAUCCACCCUGGGUUUUACAGUGAUUGGUGCAAGAUGCUGGAGAAGUAACUCUGUAUACCUCAUCAGUUCUGAUCUAAGAGUCUUGAAAAUACCUCCGGAUUGUUGUUAGUGAUUCUGAUUGAUAUUUUAGUCCGCUUGCUUACUGGAUAUAUUUUAUACGGUUUACAUUGUAAAGCACUGACUUUGACAACUUACUAACCCAGUUACAAAUUUAACAGCUACUUUAUACUAUAUAUAUAUAUAUAUAUAUAUAUAUAUAGUUGUUUCUUGAAAUACUACAAAUAUAACC
rnacentral:lncRNA from 1 species